GAUGAAGAACGUAGCGAAAUGCGAUACGUAAUGUGAAUUGCAGAAUUCAGUGAAUCAUCGAAUCUUUGAACGCAUAUUGCGCUCUCUGGUAUUCCGGAGAGCAUGCUUGUUUGAGUAUCAGUAAACACCUCAACUCCCCUUUCUUUUUUUGAAAUGGGAGCUGGACUUGAGUGAUCCCAACGCUUUUCUCACCGAAAAGUGGCGGGUUACUUGAAAUGCAGGUGCAGCUGGACUUUUCUCUGAGCUAAAAGCAUAUCUAUUUAGUCUGCCUAAAAAACAGAUUAUUACCUUUGCUGCAGCUAACAUAAAGGAGAUUAGUUCUUGUGCUGACUGAUGCAGGAUUCACAGAGACAGCUUCGGCUGGCCUUUGUAAACUCGAUCUCAAAUCAAGUAAGACUACCCGCUGAACUUAAGCAUAUCAAUAAAGCGGAGGA
rnacentral:misc_RNA from 1 species